rnacentral:rRNA from 1 species
ACCUACGGGAGGCAGCAGUGGGGAAUAUUGGGCAAUGGGCGCAAGCCUGACCCAGCAACGCCGCGUGCAGGAAGAAGGUUUUCGGAUUGUAAACUGCUUUAGACAGGGAAGAAACAAGACAGUACCUGUAGAAUAAGCUCCGGCUAAAUACGUGCCAGCAGCCGCGGUA